rnacentral:lncRNA from 1 species
CGGAGCUGGGGAUGAUUUAACCCAUCUCUUCAUCUGGGCUGAGCUGGUGAUGCCUUUCAGUGCUGGAGGAGGCUGUAGGUGACCUGUGAAUUGGCCUCUUCCGAAGAAACUUCCAGGAAUUGUUUGAACUUUUUCCUGCCUUGCUUGCUGACUUUGGAGUCCACCCCCGGUGUGAGAUGUUCAUUACUUAAGCCGAGUCGUUAGAUGAACCAGUUUUAAUCUCUACAUGGAGCAACUUGUUUUGUAAAUAAUUCAAACAUUUUAUCAUGGGUACAAUGACAAAAUGAAGAUUUAAAAAUAUGUACAUUGUUUGACAAUUAAAAAGAGAAAUUCAUACACAACAUUUGUUCAAUUUGUGAAACAUUCAAAAAUUUGACAAAGUAUAA